rnacentral:tRNA from 1 species
CCUCUGGUAGCUCAGAAGGUAAAGUGUCUGCCUGAAAUGUAGGAGACCUGGGUUCGAUCCCUGGGUAGAGAA